CAAUAUUUCCCUGCAGUCUUUGCAACCCCUGAAUUGUAGCAUGUUGUUUGUGCAGAAGAAGCUGAAAGUGAAACUGUCUGAAAAUGAGAGUGAAGAAAACUGGCCUGCUUCUAUAAUUUCAGCAGAAAGCACCUCAGGUAAACAAAAUGGCACACUUGUGCAAUCAGCGAUGAAGAAUUCUCCCUAUAUAAAUGGCUGAAGUGAAACAAGUGGAGAGAGAUUGGUGGUAACCCAGCAGUCAAGUCCGUGAGAGUGAGCCUAUGAGAGCCUGAGCAAUGCAGGAACAGAAAUCAAAUCAUUGCCACAUAGAGUGAACAAGAGCACUUGAAUUCUGGGACUUCAGUAAGCAAGAAAAACAAAAUUGUUUCACAUGAGUUCCUCAAGGAUUCACAAGGUCCUGUGAUCUUUCAUAUUCACAUCAUCCAGUAUGGAAGAAAUUAGCCCACAUUUACAAGAAACAUGUAUCAUCAUACAUGGAUCACACCCAAAUCUGUGGGAUUCUGAGAAACCACUGUUUCAGCAGACAGGAAUUUCUGGCUGCAAUCCAACAGGAAGGAUUGAAAGUCAACAGACAAAAAGUUCAAUUAGUACAACAAGAGAGAUUGGUUUCUUCUGCCACGAACUAGAAUCCCCUGAGAAAAAGCAAGCUAAAAAAGUCUUUCAGCAGCCUUUUCUGUUUUGCCCUCCUGGUGCAGGUUGAAAGUAAGAAGAAAAGGGGAAAAAGAUUUUAAAAAGAAAUAAAAAAAAAAAAAAAAAAAGGAAAGUUUUCA
rnacentral:lncRNA from 1 species